rnacentral:rRNA from 1 species
CCCGAAUUAAGGAUAUUUAAAAUUAAAUUUUUUUUAUAUGUAUUAUAUUAUUUAUUAAUUUAAUUUUAGUAGUUAAAAGUUAAUCGUUCCUUAAAUAUAUCUGGUUUUAUAAUAGUUAAAUUAAAUUUAGGUUUAUUUUUUAAGCUUAUAUAAUAGGGGAUAAUCUCUAUUUUUUGUUAAAAUAUAUAUAUUAUUUAUAUUUUUAUUAUCAUUAAUAUUUUGAAUUGAGUUCAUAAUAGAUUGGAAUUUAUUAUUUAUUAUUUUUUUAUUAUUUAUCUUUAUAUUAUAAUUAUUUAAUUAAUUUUUAUUUAUUUUUAUUAAUGAUUAAAUUAGUAUAAUUUUUAUUUAUUUAUUUAUGAAUUCGACAAUUUUAAUUUCCAACUGUUUAUCAAAAACAUUUCUUUAAGAUAAUGUUUAAAGUAGGUUCUGCCCUAUGAUUAAUUUAAAUGGCUGCAGUAUUCUGACUGUGCAAAGGUAGCAUAAUAAUUAGUUUCUUAAUUAGGGACUUGUAUGAAUGAAUUAAUGAGAAAUUUAUUUUAUUAUAACUAUUAUUAUAAUUUAACUUUUGAGUUAAAAUGCUCAAUUAUAUUAUUGGGACGAUAAGACCCUAUAGAACUUAAAAUAAUUAUUUAUUUUUAAUUUAUUUAGUUUUUUUUAUUAAAGUAUUAUAUUUAUUUUUUGUUGGGGUGACAAAUAAAUUUUAACUUUAUUUUUUUAAUUCAUUAAUUUAUGUAUAUUUGAUCCAUUAUGUGUGAUAAUAAGAUUAAGUUACCUUAGGGAUAACAGCGUAAUUUUAAUGGAAAGUUCAUAUUUAUAUUAAAGUUUGCGACCUCGAUGUUGAAUUAAGAUAAGAUUAAGGGGUAGUUUCUUUAAUAUUAGGUCUGUUCGACCUUUAAAUUCUUACAUGAUUUGAGUUCAAACCGGUGUAAGCCAGGUUGGUUUCUAUCUGAUUAUUAUUAAAUCUUUUUAGUACGAAAGGACCAUUAGAUUCUAUUUUAUAGUUUAUAGUGAA